CAGCAGCCGCGGUAAUACCGGCGGCCCGAGUGGCGGUCACUAUUAUUGGGCUUAAAGCGUCCGUAGCCGGGUUGGGAAGUCCUCCGGGAAAUCUGGCCGCUUAACGGGCAGAAUUCCGGGAGAUACUGCCAGCCUAGGGACCGGGAGAGGCCGAGGGGAUUCCCGGGGUAGGGGUGAAAUCCUAUAAUCCCGGGAGGACCACCUGUGGCGAAGGCGCUCGGCUGGAACGGGUCCGACGGUGAGGGACGAAGGCCAGGGGAGCAAACCGGAUUAGAUACCCGGGUAGUCCUGGCUGUAAACGAUGCGGACUUUGUGUCGGACAAGCUAUGAGCUUGUCCGGUGCCGGAGGGAAACCGUUAAGUCCGCCGCCUGGGGAGUACGGCCGCAAGGCUGAAACUUAAAGGAAUUGGCGGG
rnacentral:rRNA from 1 species